UACGAAGGGGGCUAGCGUUGUUCGGAAUUACUGGGCGUAAAGCGCACGUAGGCGGGUCGUUAAGUCAGGGGUGAAAUCCCGGAGCUCAACUCCGGAACUGCCUUUGAUACUGGCGAUCUAGAGAUCGAGAGAGGUGAGUGGAAUUCCGAGUGUAGAGGUGAAAUUCGUAGAUAUUCGGAAGAACACCAGUGGCGAAGGCGGCUCACUGGCUCGAUACUGACGCUGAGGCACGAAGGCCAGGGGAGCAAACGGG
rnacentral:rRNA from 1 species